rnacentral:lncRNA from 1 species
GACACCUUCACCAAACACUGCUUCCUCAAGAAAUGCCCCUAUACAUGGUGUGGAAGAAAAUUCAAAAAGAUAGGACAUUUCCGGAUAAUACUUCAUUGGGCAUUCUCAUUAAUUAUUCUCCCCAAGAUUACCAUUAAGCUUUGACUGAAAGUGACAACCCAAAAGAGUUAACAGCCAAAAGUAAAGAACGAGCAUCUGAGCCUAAAGACGUAGCGCACCAGAAACGCUAAACAAGAAGAUUCACGAAUGAUCCAAGAGCUUUAAGUGAUAACAAUCACGUUAAAAGAGCUGAGAAGAAUUUGAAAGACAGCAAUCAAUUAAAAUUGAAAACUGUACUUACUCGUCGGCAGGAUAAUAUACCAAAGCAGCCAACCAAAAAACAAUAAAGAAAAAGGUUAGAUGAUUUUGCAGAUUUUUUUUUUUGGUUUUGUUAUUGGCUUUCCGGCGUUUUAUUAAUUACUUACCUGGGCUAUUGCCUAUUGGUGAUGAUAAUAUUUGCCGGUACUGCCGUGUCAGACGUUUGAGCGCAGCAGCAGUAGGAGGAAGAACGAUCGAACUUGUCCACCGGCCACCAACCACCCCAAUCCAGGCCGUGCAUCCUGUAUUUACCUCAAUUAGUGCUGCACGAGCUUCUU